CCUACGGGUGGCAGCAGUAGGGAAUCUUCCACAAUGGGCGAAAGCCUGAUGGAGCAACGCCGCGUGGGUGAAGAAGGUCUUCGGAUCGUAAAACCCUGUUGUUAGAGAAGAAGGUGCGUGAGAGUAACUGUUCACGUUUCGACGGUAUCUAACCAGAAAGCCACGGCUAACUACGUGCCAGCAGCCGCGGUAAUACGUAGGGGGCAAGCGUUAUCCGGAUUUGUUGGGCGUAAAGGGAACGCAGGCGGUCAUUUAAGUCUGAUGUGAAAGCCUUCGGCUUAACCGGAGUAGUGCAUUGGAAACUGGGAGACUGGAGUGCAGAAGAGGAGGGUGGAACUCCAUGUGUAGCGGUGAAAUGCGUAGAUAUAUGGAAGAACACCAGUGGCGAAAGCGGCUCUCUGGUCUGUAACUGACGCUGAGGUUCGAAAGCGUGGGUAGCAAACAGGAUUAGAUACCCGGGUAGUC
rnacentral:rRNA from 1 species